UACGUAGGGGGCAAGCGUUGUCCGGAUUUAUUGGGCGUAAAGCGCUCGCAGGUGGUUCGUUGCGUCGUGCGUGAAAGACCCCGGCUCAACUGGGAGGUCGUGCGAUACGGGCGAACUGGAGGCCAGUAGGGGAGUGCGGAAUUCCGGGUGUAGUGGUGGAAUGCGUAGAGAUCCGGAGGAACACCAGCGGCGAAGGCGGCAUCCUGGACUGGUCCUGACACUCAGGAGCGAAAGCGUGGGGAGCCAAACAGG
rnacentral:rRNA from 1 species